ACAUGCUGAGCGUUUGUUAAAAAAAUCCUGCAUGAUGAAUCCCCCUGAGCGGCGGGGCAUAAUGACAGAUGUUUGGUUGCGUAUUGUAUAGGCAAGUUGCGGAUUCUGUCUGGUCAUUGCAGAAUUCACCGGGAGGCACCCGGCAUCAUGCUGUAUACAGAGAUUAGGCAUAUAUCCAGGCUUCUCAUCGCAGGAGCCUUUUUACAUGC
rnacentral:sRNA from 22 species